GGGAGCGUCCAUACUGGAGGUGAAACACCCGUUCCCAUUCCGAAUACGGUAGUUAAGCCCUCCAAGGUCGAUGGUACUGUACUGGCGACGGUACGGGAGAGUAGAUAGACGCUCCUU
rnacentral:rRNA from 1 species